CCUACGGGAGGCAGCAGUGGGGAAUAUUGGGCAAUGGGCGCAAGCCUGACCCAGCAACGCCGCGUGAAGGAAGAAGGCUUUCGGGUUGUAAACUUCUUUUCUGGGGGACGAACAAAUGACGGUACCCCAGGAAUAAGCCACGGCUAACUACGUGCCAGCAGCCGCGGUAAUACGUAGGUGGCAAGCGUUAUCCGGAUUUAUUGGGUGUAAAGGGCGUGUAGGCGGGAAUGCAAGUCAGAUGUGAAAACUAUGGGCUCAACCCAUAGCCUGCAUUUGAAACUGUAUUUCUUGAGUGCUGGAGAGGCAAUCGGAAUUCCGUGUGUAGCGGUGAAAUGCGUAGAUAUCAGGAGGAACACCGGUGGCGAAGGCGGCCUGCUGGACUGCAACUGACGUUGAGGCCCGAAAGCGUGGGGAGCAAACAGGAUUAGAUACCCCGGUAGUC
rnacentral:rRNA from 1 species